rnacentral:tRNA from 1 species
GCUCGCUUGGCCAAGUGGUAAGGCGCUUGACUGUUAGUCUUCCUCUAAUUCGUCAAUCCUCAAACAAAGCUAAUUCCUCAAAAGUGUACACAAUAUCUCGCAAUCAAGAGAGCGCUGGUUCGAUUCCGGCAGUGAGCA